rnacentral:rRNA from 1 species
UACGGAGGGGGCUAGCGUUGUUCGGAAUUACUGGGCGUAAAGCGCACGUAGGCGGACCAGCAAGUUAGGGGUGAAAUCCCGGGGCUCAACCCCGGAACUGCCUUUAAAACUGUUGGUCUGGAGGUCGAGAGAGGUGAGUGGAAUUCCGAGUGUAGAGGUGAAAUUCGUAGAUAUUCGGAGGAACACCAGUGGCGAAGGCGGCUCACUGGCUCGAUACUGACGCUGAGGUGCGAAAAGCGUGGGGGAGCAAACAGG